rnacentral:rRNA from 1 species
UACGGAGGGGGCUAGCGUUGUUCGGAAUUACUGGGCGUAAAGCGCACGUAGGCGGCUUUGCAAGUUAGAGGUGAAAGCCCGGGGCUCAACUCCGGAAUUGCCUUUAAAACUGCAUCGCUAGAAUUGUGGAGAGGUAAGUGGAAUUCCGAGUGUAGAGGUGAAAUUCGUAGAUAUUCGGAAGAACACCAGUGGCGAAGGCGGCUAUCUGGACGGUUACUGACGCUAAGACUCGAAAGCGUGGGGAGCAAACAGG